GGGCAAUGAUGACAGCAGCGCCUUCUGUGAUGGUAGGGCAAAUCAUGACAGUCUCAUUAUGGGAUGACAUGAGCGCUCCUGAGCUC